UACGAAGGGGGCGAGCGUUGUUCGGAUUUACUGGGCGUAAAGGGCGCGUAGGCGGCUCAUUUUGUCAGGCGUGAAAGCCCCGGGCUUAACCUGGGAACUGCGUUUGAUACGGAUGGGCUAGAGUUCGGGAGAGGAGAGUGGAAUUGCGGGUGUAGAGGUGAAAUUCGUAGAUAUUCGCAGGAACACCAGUGGCGAAGGCGGCUCACUGGUCCAUAACUGACGCUGAGGUGCGAAAGCGUGGGGAGCAAACAGG
rnacentral:rRNA from 1 species